rnacentral:rRNA from 1 species
CCUACGGGAGGCAGCAGUGGGGAAUAUUGCGCAAUGGGCGAAAGCCUGACGCAGCGACGCCGCGUGAGGGAUGAAGGUCUUCUGAUCGUAAAACUCUGUCAGCAGGGAAGAACGGUCACUGUGCUAAUCAGCAGUGAAUUGACGGUACCUGCAAGGGAAGCACCGGCUAACUCCGUGCCAGCAGCCGCGGUAAUACGGAGGGUGCGAGCGUUAAUCGGAAUUACUGGGCGUAAAGCGCGCGUAGGCGGUAGGUCAAGUCAAGGGUGAAAUCCCCGCGCUCAACGUGGGAACUGCCUUUGAAACUGGCAAACUGGAGUGUGUGAGAGGAUAGUGGAAUGUCAGGUGUAGGAGUGAAAUCCGUAGAGAUCUGGAGGAACAUCAGUGGCGAAGGCGACUAUCUGGGACAUAACUGACGCUGAGGAGCGAAAGCGUGGGUAGCAAACAGGAUUAGAUACCCGAGUAGUC